CUAGUUGGUGAGGUAACGGCUCACCAAGGCUAUGAUCGUUAGCUGGUCUGAGAGGAUGGCCAGCCACACUGGAACUGAGACACGGUCCAGACUCCUACGGGAGGCAGCAGUGGGGAAUCUUGCACAAUGGGCGAAAGCCUGAUGCAGCGACGCCGCGUGGGGGAUGAAGCUUUUCGGAGUGUAAACCCCUUUCGACCCGGACGAAUGCCCCGCAAGGGGACUGACGGUACGGGUAUAAGAAGCCCCGGCUAACUACGUGCCAGCAGCCGCGGUAAGACGUAGGGGGCCAGCGUUGCUCGGAAUUACUGGGUGUAAAGGGUUCGUAGGCGGUGCGGCAAGUUGGGAGUGAAAUCUCUGGGCUCAACCCAGAGGCUGCUUCCAAAACUGCUGUGCUUGAGUGUGGGAGAGGCGCGUGGAAUUGCAGGUGUAGCGGUGAAAUGCGUAGAUAUCUGCAGGAACACCCGUGGCGAAAGCGGCGCGCUGGACCACAACUGACGCUGAGGAACGAAAGCUAGGGGAGCAAACAGGAUUAGAUACCCUGGUAGUCCUAGCCCUAAACGAUCAGGACUUGGGGUGCUUCACGUUCGUGGAGCGUCCCGGAGCUAACGCGUUAAGUCCUGCACCUGGGGAGUACGGUCGCAAGACUGAAACUCAAAGGAAUUGACG
rnacentral:rRNA from 1 species